ensembl:lncRNA
CUUGCAGUGAGGAGGCAAUGUGGAACGCGGAGCCCGGCACUUGGCAAGUACUGGGGAAGGGAUUAGGAAGGGCAGGAGUUACAUCACUCAUUUCUUUUUACAGCUGAGAAAACAAGCGGAGGAGGCUCAGGGAGGUAAGGCCGGUUGCCCAAGGUCACACAGCCCAGUAGGAGGAGGAUGGGGCCCCAGCGAGGCUGGCUGACUUGUGCUCUAAUCACUGAGCCCUCUGACCGCAGGCCCGCCCGCCCAAGUACCUUUCCCUAUCUCCGUGGCCCGUGGACCCCCGAAGGCUGCGUGGGGCCAGGGAACAAGUGGCAUGGCCGAGGCUGAGCCCAUGGGGCUGGAAGGGUUAACGUGCUCCGCCGCAAUGGGCCGGCCUCCGGGGGAACCAGCCAAUGGGCACGCGCCGCGAUGAGCCUUACAGCCGCAGAAACCUGUGUGCUGGACCCUUAAGGUCUGCAGCAUAUGAACCUGGAGAGAGGUCCUGCCUCCUUUGAGACUCAGUUUCCCCUCUUGCAAGAAGAUCGCUGAAGACGCGACUAGCUGGUGAACAUUCUUGGAUCCCAGAACGGUUUUCGGCCCCUCCCCGCCGUUGGUCCACCGUAGAGCGGCCACGACCCUGGCCCUGCCUAGGCAGUGUACAGCGCACUGGGACAAGGAGUUCUCCCGGGCAAGCGGAAGGAGCCUCGCCAGCCCGUCACCCCCUCCAUGCGGGCCCCAGAGCAUCGUCCCCUCCCUAUCCCUGGGGUGUCUGCGACUUCUCUUCGCUGCCCUCAAGGUCCCAAGUUAGCUGCAAAAGCAGCUGGACAGGCCAGUCUAGUGGUCACAGGUCAAAGUUCAUUGAACCACCAAAAUUAAUCGAGCAUCUACUACGUGCAGCUCAGAGCUCGGCGGGCUUCGGGGGCUGUCCGCGACCCGGGCACCCAUUCCCCGCUGGCCUGCUGGGGGCCCGCGCACCGGUUCUGGGCACGAAGCGGUUAAACCUUUCUAGCCUAGAAGCUGGCUCUGCUGCUGAGGCCCAGGCUUAUUAGUCAG